rnacentral:rRNA from 1 species
GGCGCGGUAAGUCAGAUGUGAAAUCCCGGGGCUCAACCCCGGAACUGCAUCCGAUACUGCCGUGCUCGAGCAUUGGAGAGGUAGCUGGAAUUCUUGGUGUAGCAGUGAAAUGCGUAGAGAUCAAGAGGAACACUCGUGGCGAAAGCGAGCUACUGGACAAUUGCUGACGCUGAGGCUCGAAGGCUAGGGUAGCGAAAGGGAUUAGAUACCCCUGUAGUCCUAGCAGUAAACGGUGCACGCUUGGUGUGAGGGGAAUCGACCCCCCUUGUGCCGGAGCUAACGCGUUAAGCGUGCCGCCUGGGAAGUACGGUCGCAAGACUAAAACUCAAAGAAAUUGACGGGGACCCGCACAAGCGGUGGAGUAUGUGGCUUAAUUCGAUGCAACGCGAAGAACCUUACCAAGGCUUGACAUGCAUCUCUAAACACGUGAAAGCGUGUGACCCUUCGGGGAAUUUGCACAGGUGCUGCAUGGCCGUCGUCAGCUCGUGUCGUGAGAUGUUGGGCUAAGUCCCGCAACGAGCGCAACCCUUGUGAUUAGUUGCCAGCACGUUAAGGUGGGAACUCUAGUCAGACUGCCCAGAUCAACUGGGAGGAAGGUGGGGACGACGUCAGGUCAGUAUGGCCCUUACGCCUUGGGCUGCACACGUACUACAAUGCCCAGCACAAUGAGAACCGAGACCGCGAGGUGGAGGAAAUCUGCAAAACUGGGCUCAGUUCGGAUUGGAGGCUGCAACUCGCCUCCAUGAAGUUGGAAUCGCUAGUAAUGCCGUAUCAUCUACGACGGCGUGAAUACGUUCCCGGGUCUUGUACACACCGCCCGUCACAUCAUGGAAGCCGGUCGCACCCGAAGUGCCCGUACCAACCGCAAGGGGGUAGGGUCCUAAGGUGUAGCUGGUAACUGGGAUGAAGUCGUAACAAGGUAGCCGUAAAUUCCCGCGGCCAAANA